GUGUUGUAUGAAAGGAGAGGAGGUUAGCACUCCCUUUGACAAGAAUGGAAGAAGCUCUCGGGCCUAACCACAUGCAUAUGGUCAAGGCAUUGCCACCAACUUCAUGGCAUCUAACUACUGUUUUUU